UAACCGGUCUAAGCUUAGGCUAAAUUAAAGACCCGUUAGGAAUCUGAUGGGUUUUUAAAAACCUUCGUUCCAGAUUUAGGAGCCCAGUAAAAGCUAUAUGUACAUGCUUGGUGUGCAGGUACUACGCGUAAUAGGCUGGUCUCUCCUAGCAUCAAAUAGAAGUCUCGCAAGCUUAGAUGUUAAAGUCUGUUGAACAAGUUUCCUCUUUAUUUUGAUCCGCCUGUGGAUCCAUUACGUUCUGUUUGUAAUACUUGGAUAUUACUUUAUAUCGGAUUGUAAUAUUAUUAUCUUUUGCUUCCGCUGUGCAUUUAAAUUUGUAUUGUUUGACUAUGAUGAU
rnacentral:lncRNA from 1 species